CAGAGUGCUGGCCUGGCUCACAGGCAUGCCUCCUUCUGGGACCUCCUCCACCCCCUACAGUUUGGCGCUCAGUAAUCUCUUGUUUUCUUGUCUCCCUCAGGACACUGGGUCCCCUAGGAGCCUCCCCAGGCUUAAUGAUUGUCCAGAAGGCGGCUAUAAAGGGAGCCUGGGAGGCUGGGUGGAGGAGGGAGCAGAAAAAACCCAACUCAGCAGAUCUGGGAACUGUGAGAGCGGCAAGCAGGAACUGUGGUCAGAGGCUGUGCGUCUUGGCUGGUAGGGCCUGCUCUUUUCUACCAUGGCAGCCCAGGGCUAUGGCUAUUAUCGCACUGUGAUCUUCUCAGCCAUGUUUGGGGGCUACAGCCUGUAUUACUUCAAUCGCAAGACCUUCUCCUUUGUCAUGCCAUCAUUGGUGGAAGAGAUCCCUUUGGACAAGGAUGAUUUGGGGUUCAUCACCAGCAGCCAGUCGGCAGCUUAUGCUAUCAGCAAGUUUGUCAGUGGGGUGCUGUCUGACCAGAUGAGUGCUCGCUGGCUCUUCUCUUCUGGGCUGCUCCUGGUUGGCCUGGUCAACAUAUUCUUUUCCUGGAGCUCCACAGUACCUGUCUUUGCUGCCCUCUGGUUCCUUAAUGGCCUGGCCCAGGGGCUGGGCUGGCCCCCAUGUGGGAAGGUCCUGCGGAAGGUGAGUGCUUCCAAAGAGCCUGUUUGGAUUGUCAUAGAGGAUGCCUAAAGAGCAUGUGGGAGCGCCCUUUCUUACCCACCACCUCCACACCCAACCCAGAGCAGGUUCCUGAGCAGUUCCUGGCCAGCUCCUAUUGCUUGUCAAGAUAUUUUAGGAGGCUGAGAGUGGUGGGAUCAGGUGGCAGAGGAGGAAACUGCCCUGCCAAACAGAAGCGCCCUCUCCCUCUUCCCUGUAAUGUGAGCUUCUGGGGCUGCCCCAUCUGACCCCACCCUCAACAUGGGCAGUAGGCUGGACACCUACGUGUCGCCCUCUGCCCCACAGUGGUUUGAGCCAUCUCAGUUUGGCACUUGGUGGGCCAUCCUGUCAACCAGCAUGAACCUGG
rnacentral:sRNA from 1 species